rnacentral:rRNA from 1 species
UACGUAGGGGGCGAGCGUUGUCCGGAAUCAUUGGGCGUAAAGCGCGUGUAGGCGGCCCGGUAAGUCCGCUGUGAAAGUCCAGGGCUCAACCCUGGGAUGCCGGUGGAUACUGUCGGGCUUGAGUACGGAAGAGGCGAGUGGAAUUCCAGGUGUAGCGGUGAAAUGCGUAGAUAUCUGGAGGAACACCGGUGGCGAAGGCGGCAUCCUGGACCAACACUGACGCUGAGGAGCGAAAGCCAGGGGAGCAAACGGG